ACGGGUGAGUAAUGUAUCGGAACGUACCCAAGAGUGGGGGAUAACGUAGCGAAAGUUACGCUAAUACCGCAUACGAUCUAAGGAUGAAAGCAGGGGACCGCAAGGCCUUGUGCUCCUGGAGCGGCCGAUAUCUGAUUAGCUAGUUGGUGAGGUAAAGGCUCACCAAGGCAACGAUCAGUAGCUGGUCUGAGAGGACGACCAGCCACACUGGAACUGAGACACGGUCCAGACUCCUACGGGAGGCAGCAGUGGGGAAUUUUGGACAAUGGGGGCAACCCUGAUCCAGCAAUGCCGCGUGAGUGAAGAAGGCCUUCGGGUUGUAAAGCUCUUUUGUCAGGGAAGAAAAGGUCGUGGCUAAUAUCCACGGCUGCUGACGGUACCUGAAGAAUAAGCACCGGCUAACUACGUGCCAGCAGCCGCGGUAAUACGUAGGGUGCAAGCGUUAAUCGGAAUUACUGGGCGUAAAGCGUGCGCAGGCGGUUUCGUAAGUCUGUCGUGAAAUCCCCGGGCUUAACCUGGGAAUGGCGAUGGAGACUGCGAGGCUAGAGUUUGGCAGAGGGGGGUAGAAUUCCACGUGUAGCAGUG
rnacentral:rRNA from 1 species